rnacentral:rRNA from 1 species
AACCAACGCUGGCGGCGUGCCUAAUACAUGCAAGUCGAACGGGGAAAGCUUUCGGGUGAGUACUAGUGGCGCACGGGUGAGGAACGCGUGGAUAAUCUGCCUUAGAGUGGGGGAUAACUAGUCGAAAGAUUAGCUAAUACCGCAUAAGACCACGAGAGCUGCGGCUUUUGAGGUCAAAGGUUUUUCGCUCUAAGAUGAGUCCGCGUAAGAUUAGCUAGUUGGUGAGGUAACGGCUCACCAAGGCGACGAGCUUUAACUGGUCUGAGAGGAUGAUCAGUCACACUGGAACUGAGACGCGGUACAGACGACUACGGGAGGCAGGAGUAGGGAAUAUUGCACAAUGGAGGAAACUGUGAUGCAGCGACGCCGCGUGAGAGAUGAAGGCAUUCGGGUCGUAAAGCUGUGUCGCAGGGGAAUAACACAAUGAAGGUACCCUGUAAGAAAGGAUCGGCUAACUUCGUG